UGGUGGGUUGCCUUGUCAGGUUGAUUCCGGUAACGAACGAGACCUCAGCCUGCUAAAUAGUCCUAGUCGCUUUCUGCGGCUAGCUGACUUCUUAGAGGGACUAUUGGCGUUUAGUCAAUGGAAGUAUGAGGCAAUAACA
rnacentral:rRNA from 1 species